CUUUUGGGCUGUCCCACCAGCCCACUAAGGGAUGGUGCGGCACCCCCAAUGCCUAUGGGCUUCCCCGGGGUGGGUUGCCCCCCCGGUGAACUCCCGGAACCCAUUCGUCAUUCCCGGUACAUUCCCGGUAACUCCGAAAACCUUCCGGUAAUCAAAUGAGGUCAUCCUAUAUAUCAAUCUUCGUUUCCGGACCAUUCCAGAAACCCUC
rnacentral:lncRNA from 1 species